rnacentral:lncRNA from 1 species
CGCAUUGUCAAAUAUUUAAUGGAGCUAUCUUUCUUUUUUAUGUUAAAAUUUCACGACAAUAUAAAAGCAACUUUGGGUUCCUUAUUGUAUGACAUGUUGACAUAAAGACUGACCCCAUCGCUUUGCCAGGCAAAAAUUCAAGCAUGGUAUAUAAUUAUAAAGAAUUAUAACAGACAAGUUUGUACACAUUUUGUUGUUUUAUUAUCACUGAAACAAUUUCUUCAUAAAUAAAUACCCUGGUAUAAUGAUAAAUUAAAUGUUAGUGAAUAUUUAAAUCAAACAAAUAUCCAAAUAUCAAAUGCUGUUCUGGUCUCAGAAAGGGUAGAUAAUGUGACAGCUUACAUAAAUUUAUUACCCGAGUCAAAGAUAUUCAGGAAACUGCUUGGUGUAUACAACAUUUUUUUUACCCUGUAUUUAGCUUCAGCACAGGUUAUAAUUCUAAGCCAGGAAUGUCACAUUAUAAACCCUGUCUGACACCUGAAUAGCAUAUAAUAAUAUUUCAAUCAAACAGUUCUACAAAUUUCAAAGUAUCUAACAAUAGUUCUAGCUAGCAGCCCCAAGUAUGAAAUGUGAAAAGCUUCACAAAACUAAGCAAUAAUAUAGAGUAAAAAAAUCCACCAAUUAAACAUUCACUCAAUGUAUUUGGUGAACAUCUGCUCAAUGUGAAAUACUAUAGUUCUAUUAAUGAAUUUAGCCCUUGUGACUUGAUUUUGUUACUUACCUUAUGAUGUCACUAAAAUGAUAAUUUUGCAUGAAGUCGGCCAGUUUUUAUUACAGAAAACAUGGCAAGUCUCCAUAUCAUGAACCUUAAGGCCACGGUUUUUUAAUUUGUUGGUUUACAGAUUUUCUCCAUGAAAAAGUCGGGUCGGUCGGUCGGGAAAAAAAUAAAAAAAAUAUCUUUCAAGACAGAAAACUGCCGGAUAUGCAAAAUAAAUAUAUAUUACACCUGUCUAAUAACAUGUUUUUUAUGCUAUUUUGUCAUCAUUUCUUAAAUUCUAGUUCGAUGAAAUAUUAUUGCUCAGCUGUAAUAAACAUCGCAUGACAUUGUCUAAUAAUUUCCCGUAAAAAAGGGGGGUGCACGGACAAAGACGAAAUUAAAUCGUCAUUUCACAAAAAAGAAAAACAGAUUCACAUAGCUCUUAAUCAAUUCCAGAAAACUUGGUGAAUAAUGAUCUUCAAGCUUGAAAACUGAUAAAGAAAAAAAUGUUAAAACGUCGUACUAAAAUAAGUUUCAACACACGUGUCAAAAACGUAAUAGACUCGUCCACUGGAAAAACGAGAAUAUCGGGUUAAUCUGUUGUCAUGCAUUCCAGUUUUUUAUCCAAAUGGACGAUAUUUUUUUAAUAUCUAUGAAACAAUAAAAUUUCAAAUGAUUUGUCAAUAUUCAGUAUUUUAACUUGAUGUCUUGAAUUUCCAUCUGUCCACAUUUGGACAAGUCUAUUUCUAUGAGAAGAUGCAUCUUACGGACUGGUGACAAAUAAGGGAAACGAACUUAUUGUGUAAUUGGUUUUAAACACAGGUUUCGUUCUGCAAAAUUAUUUGUGCAAACACCAUUUCAAGGUUUGUCUAUUUUAGAAACAUAAACUGAAAGUUUCAUUUUUCACAACAGAAAGUGUUAUCAAUUCUGUUAGUGAUUAAUGCAUUUCAUUUCACAAAAAAAAUAUAUUUUAAUUAUUUUUGAGGGAUAAUGCAUUUGUUAGGGUAGGCAGGUAAAAAAGCAUGAAAAGUCAAUUUUAUUUUUAUUCUGGAAAUCGGCAAAAUCUGGUCGGCGGAACCGUAAACCAACAAAUAAAAAAUCCUGGCCUAAGCGUGGAAUAAUAUCAGUAAAUCUGAUAUUUCUAAGCGUGGUGCCAAUAUGAGCUGCGUCGGAUAGAGAUUGACCGUAUGCAGGUGCAUAGAUACAUGUUCAUAUGUUACACUUUGAUUGGAUAAUUAAAAUACAAAAUAAGGAAUGAAUUUGGGUUUGCUUUGUAGAUUUUCUUAUAACAAUUCAAUUUUAUACAUUCCAUAAAGAUUUUUAAACCCAAAUAGGGUAACAGAUGUAACAUUAUUCAUUUGCAUAUGGUCAAUUUCUAUUCGAUGCAGCUCAUAAGUAAAAACAAAAGGACUAAAAUAAUAAACAUUUACAAUGAAUGUGAUCAUUCCAAUUGUUGUUCAAUGAAUUCAGAGAGUCAACAUGUUUCUGGAAUAAGCUUCAUCAUCAAGCAAUUUUGACUGUCAGCACUAGCUAAGUAGCAUAAUGAAAUUAUGAGUAAAAAAAAUAUAAACUAUUAAACUACACAAUUUGAUUUCAGCUUUCAAACUAUAAAACUCUAACAAAAUGAUUAAAUGCUACUUCUAAAAAAAUGGAGAUCAAAUACAUUAUGCAAGUAUUGAGAUUCAAUAUACACUGCAUUCAAAUAGAAAGUAUGAAAAAAUAAAUUGAAAUAAAAAUUAGAAUAAACUAGAGGCUCUCAAGAGCCUGUGUCGCUCACCUUGGUCUAUGUGCAUAUUAAACAAUGGACACAGAUAAAUUCAUGACAAAAUUGUGUUUUGGUGAUCAUGAUGUGUUUGUAGAUCUUACUUUACUGGACAUUCUUCUUGCUACAAUUAUCUCUAUCUAGAAUGAACUUGGCCCAGUAAUUACAGUGGAAAAUAUAUUCUAAAAAUUUACAAAAAUUUAUGAAAAUUGUUAAAAAAUGACUAUAAAGGGCAAUAACUUAGGGGUAAACUGACAAUUUUGGUCAUGUUGACUUAUUUGUAGAUCUUACUUUGCGGAACAUUAUUGCUGUUUACAGUUUAUCUCUAUCUAUUAUAAUAUUCAAGAUAAUAACCAAAAACUGCAAAAUUUCCUUAAAAUUACCAAUUUAGGGGCAGCAACCCAACAACGGGUUGUCCGAUUCAUCUGAAAAUUUUCAGGCAGAUAGAUCUUGACCUGAUAAACAAUUUUACCCCGUCAGAUUUGCUCUAAAUGCUUUGGUUUUUGAGUAAUAAGCCAAAAACUGCAUUUUACCCCUAUGUUCUAUUUUUAGCCAUGGCGGCCAUCUUGGUUGGUUGGCUGGGUCACCGGACACAUUUUUUAAACUAGAUACCCCAAUGAUGAUUUGGUAAGUUUGGAUAAAUUUGGCCAAGUAGUUUCAGAGGAGAAGAUUUUUGUAAAAUUUAACAACGACGACGGACGACACGACAGACGACAGACGCAAAGUGAUGGGAAAUCUCUGUGUUAAAAAGGGGGAAUGUGUCAAUGGGUAAGGCCACCAAUAAGUCUUAAAUACAAUAUGUUUCUUUUUCAACAUCACUAGGGGAGAUUAUCAAAUUCAUCACAUCUAUGCUUGAGGGAUAGAUCUAGGUCAAGAGGCCACAACUGUCAAAUCAUUAUAAAGUUAAUGUCACCCAUUGUCUUGUCCAAAUCUGCUUAACUUUCAUAAAUAUAUUUAAAGAUUUUGAAACAUAGAAUAUUUUAAAGCUGUUUCACAUGAAUGUCUUAUUUUCAUUUUUUUUUAAAUUAAAAAAGUAAUUUUGAGAAUACAAAUGUGUUUUAAAAGAGAGAAAAAUGUUGACACAGAGAUUUGUCUCUCCUGUCAGCAGAAAAUGACAAUCCAAGACAGCAACAUUGCCAAAAAAGUUAUCUAUCAAAAAAAAAUCCUAUAAAACUGACAUAAGAAGAAGUUUUAACAAUUGAAGAAGCUGCCAGAAAAGCAACAUCUUUGUCUUGCCUUCUGCGACUUUUGUCACAGGCAAAAAAAAAACCACUACAUUCAGUAUUCACAAUCAUAUCACAGUAUCAUAUACUAUAUAAUAUAUCACUAGAGUAGUACAAUGGUAUAAAGGUUUAUAAGCCAUUCAUAAUGAGUACAAAUAUAAAGUAAAGUUACAAAAAUAAAUAAAAUCUUAAGAUUAUAUACUGAAACUGAUAAUUUGCUACCAAAAAUUAUAAUUCCAACACAAAACAAUUGUUUGGAUUUCUUAAAAUAAAACAAUGAGAUAUUGACUAAAAACAAUAUCAAAGGUAUUCCACUGAUAUGACAAUUUUAUAAUAGAUUUUGGAUGUCAUAAUUAAAAAGAAUACUUACAAAAUAAAAAUCAUUUAAGGAUGUUUGCCCCUCUUGGUUUUCAAUUUUCGUCAGAUAUUUUCUUAAUCCUCUGAUUUUAUUCAUGUAUUGCCGUUCAAACUUUUGCCCCCUAACCCAUGUAAAAUCCUAUUCUUAUUUUCAUAAUUUUAUGUCCUAAUAAAGAUUAAACAGCCAAAUUUGAUAAAUCUUAUAAAAUUCUUGGUUUUUUUUCAAUGUUUUUGAAAAAAAGGUGCCAAUGUCAAAUAUAUGAAAAAUCUAAAGGAUAUUUUCCAACCAAAUUUUCAAUGGCUUAUAUUUUGAAACAAAGUAGCAAACAUCCUUAAUUUUAUCUGGGAUAUGCAUAUUUGCAAACAAUCUACAUAACAUUCAAUAUGAACAUUUUUCAUCUCUAUUAACAAAUAAAGAGGCCAUUUAGAUAUCCAAAGUUCCAAACAGUUCUAUCAUUAACAAAUAAGGUGUUCCUUUAAAUCAUUGCUGUAAAUAUGAGUAUCACUUAUAAUGAAACCAUAUUGGUAUGUACUGUUCUGUGAGUAUCACUUAUAAUGAAACCAUAUUGGUAUGUACUGUUCUGUGAGUAUCACUUAUAAUGAAACCAUAUUGGUAUUUACUGUUCUGUGAGUAUUAGUUGUAAUGUGGUUUUGAUUAGUUGUUCCAUUAUCAUUUCUUGAACAGUUGCAUAUUGUUCUUUCUAAUUCCAUCUGUGAAAAAAAAAUGAAAGUACUGUUACUUUUAUAAUAAUUGUGAUGAUUUUAUUAAUGCGAAAAAUGCAACUAGGUGAGAGUCGAAAUAGAA